CCCGGAAGUCGCUUCCUAGGUUUUGAGCGUGAAGUCGGUUCCUGGCUUCUGAGUGUGAACCCGCAGAGAUGAACCCUUUAACUAAAGUUAAGCUGAUCAACGAGCUGAAUGAGCGUGAGGUCCAGCUGGGGGUAGCGGAGAAGGUGUCUUGGCACUCCGAGUACAAGGACAGCGCCUGGAUCUUCUUGGGAGGGCUUCCUUAUGAGCUGACUGAAGGGGACAUCAUCUGUGUGUUCUCACAGUUGGAGGCGAAUGGGAAGCCAAUAUUCUCUAAUUCCAGGCCAGAAGUGAACCAGAAGGUAAGAAUCAAACAGGAAAAAGAGGGAGAAGAUAUUUAAUCUGAAAACAGAUACACCUCCAGGGAGAGAAGGGCUAGAUGACUGCUAGAAGGAAGAAGAUGGAAACCCUAAACUAAGUAAUGCAUAUUCAAUAUAAGACACUUGGACAACAGAACAACACAGAAAAGAAAUCCCUCUGUGUCUAUCUACCAUCUGGAGACAAGCACUGCAAACAAUUUGGUAUCACCCCUUUCUUUGCACGUAUCCACAAACGUAUAUACAUAUAUAUUUACAUAUUUUAAACAAAACUUACAUCAUGUUGUGCAGAUAUGAAAUAGACUGCUUUUCUCACUUAACAAUAAACGUAUCAUGAAUAUUUCUGAAAUUGACAU